rnacentral:rRNA from 1 species
GACGUAGGGCGCGAGCGUUGUCCGGAUUUAUUGGGCGUAAAGAGCUCGUAGGCGGCUUGUUGCGUCGGCUGUGAAAACCCAUGGCUCAACCGUGGGCUUGCAGCCGAUACGGGCAGGCUAGAGUCUGGUAGGGGGAUCUGGAAUUCCUGGUGUAGCGGUGGAAUGCGCAGAUAUCAGGAGGAACACCGGUGGCGAAGGCGGGAUCCUGGGCCAUAACUGACGCUGAGGAGCGAAAGCGUGGGGAGCGAACAGG